CCUACGGGUGGCAGCAGUGAGGAAUAUUGGUCAAUGGACGAGAGUCUGAACCAGCCAAGCAGCGUGAAGGAUGACUGCCCUCUGGGUUGUAAACUUCUUUUAUAAAGGAAUAAAACGCGGCACGUGUGCCUUUUUGCAUGUCCUUUAUGAAUAAGGAUCGGCUAACUCCGUGCCAGCAGCCGCGGUAAUACGGAGGAUCCGAGCGUUAUCCGGAAUUAUUGGGGUUAAAGGGUGCGUAGAUGGGUUGUUAAGUCAGUUGUGAAAGUUUGCGGCUCAACCGUAAAAUUGCAAUUGAUACUGGCAGUCUAGAGUAUAGUUGAGGUAGGCGGAAUUCGUGGUGUAGCGGUGAAAUGCUUAGAGAUCACGAAGAACCCUGAUUGCGAAGGCAACUUACUAGACUAUGACUGACACUGAUGCUCGAAAGUGUGGGUAGCAAACAGGAUUAGAUACCCGUGUAGUC
rnacentral:rRNA from 1 species